AGAGUUGAUCAUGGCUCAGAACGAACGCUGGCGGCGCGUUUAAGCAUGCAAGUCGGACGGCAAGCACUGUAGCAAUAUGGUGCCUAGAGUGGCGAACGGGUGAGUAACACGUAGGUGAUCUACCUCUGGGUGGGGGGAUAGCCCGUGGAAACACGGGGUAAUACCGCAUGAGGCCUUGUGGGUGAAGCCAUGAGGUGAAAGGUGCAAUUGCACCGUCUGGGGAUGAGCCUGCGGUCCAUUAGGUAGUUGGUGGGGUAACGGCCUACCAAGCCGACGAUGGAUAGCCGGCCUGAGAGGGUGUACGGCCACACUGGAACUGAGACACGGUCCAGACUCCUACGGGAGGCAGCAGCUAAGAAUCUUCCGCAAUGGGGGAAACCCUGACGGAGCGACGCCGCGUGGAUGAUGAAGGCCGUAAGGUUGUAAAAUCCUUUUGUCGGUGAAGAAUAAGGGAGGGAGUGGAAAGCCCUCCUGAUGACGUUAGCCGACGAAUAAGCCCCGGCUAAUUACGUGCCAGCCGCCGC
rnacentral:rRNA from 1 species